rnacentral:tRNA from 1 species
GGGCCGUCGCCAAGUGGUAAGGCAGCGGGUUUUGGUCCCGCCAUUCCUAGGUUCGAAUCCUAGCGGCCCAGU